rnacentral:rRNA from 1 species
GGGUUUAGCAUUCGUAGUGACCUGCGGAGGAUCAUUACUGAGUGCGGGCUGCCUUCGGGCGCCCAACCUCCCACCCGUGACUACCAAACACUGUUGCUUCGGCGGGAAUCUCCCCUGGGAGUGAACCGCCGGAGACCACUGAACUUCUUUGUUUAAGCAUGAUCUCUGAGCUUUAAUAAGCAAAUUGAUUAAAACUUUCAACAAUGGAUCUCUUGGUUCCGGCAUCGAUGAAGAACGCAGCGAACUGCGAUAAGUAAUGCGAAUUGCAGAAUUCAGUGAAUCAUCGAGUCUUUGAACGCACAUUGCGCCCCCUGGCAUUCCGGGGGGCAUGCCUGUCCGAGCGUCAUUUCUGCCCAUCAAGCGCGGCUUGUGUGUUGGGUCGUCGUCUCCUCCGGGAGACGGGCCCGAAAGGCAGCGGCGGUACCGUCCGGUCCUCGAGCGUAUGGGAGCUUUGUCACCCGCUCGAUUAGGGCCCGGUCGGCGCCAGCCGUCAACCCCAAUUUUUAUUCAGGUUGACCUCGGAUCAGGUAGGGAUACCCGCUGAACUUAAGCAUAUCAAUAAGCGGAGGAA